rnacentral:rRNA from 1 species
AAACUGAAGAGUUUGAUCAUGGCUCAGAUUGAACGCUGGCGGCAGGCCUAACACAUGCAAGUCGAGCGGCAGCGGGUCCUUCGGGAUGCCGGCGAGCGGCGGACGGGUGAGUAAUGCAUGGGAAUCUGCCCGGUAGUGGGGGAUAACUCGGGGAAACCCGAGCUAAUACCGCAUACGUCCUACGGGAGAAAGCAGGGGAUCUUCGGACCUUGCGCUAUCGGAUGAGCCCAUGUCGGAUUAGCUUGUUGGUGAGGUAACGGCUCACCAAGGCAACGAUCCGUAGCUGGUCUGAGAGGAUGAUCAGCCACACCGGGACUGAGACACGGCCCGGACUCCUACGGGAGGCAGCAGUGGGGAAUAUUGGACAAUGGGGGAAACCCUGAUCCAGCCAUGCCGCGUGUGUGAAGAAGGCCCUAGGGUUGUAAAGCACUUUCAGUGGGGAAGAAGGCAUGACGAUUAAUACCCGUCAUGAAGGACAUCACCCACAGAAGAAGCACCGGCUAACUCCGUGCCAGCAGCCGCGGUAAUACGGAGGGUGCAAGCGUUAAUCGGAAUUACUGGGCGUAAAGGGCGCGUAGGCGGCUUGCCAAGCCGGAUGUGAAAGCCCCGGGCUCAACCCGGGAACGGCAUUCGGAACUGGCAGGCUAGAGUGCAGGAGAGGAAGGUGGAAUUCCCGGUGUAGCGGUGAAAUGCGUAGAGAUCGGGAGGAAUACCAGUGGCGAAGGCGGCCUUCUGGACUGACACUGACGCUGAGGCGCGAAAGCGUGGGUAGCAAACAGGAUUAGAUACCCUGGUAGUCCACGCCGUAAACGAUGUCGACCAGCCGUUGGACCCCUUGAGGGUUUGGUGGCGCAGUUAACGCAAUAAGUCGACCGCCUGGGGAGUACGGCCGCAAGGCUAAAACUCAAAUGAAUUGACGGGGGCCCGCACAAGCGGUGGAGCAUGUGGUUUAAUUCGAUGCAACGCGAAGAACCUUACCUGCUCUUGACAUCCUGCGAAUCUCCCAGAGAUGGGAGAGUGCCUUCGGGAACGCAGAGACAGGUGCUGCAUGGCUGUCGUCAGCUCGUGUUGUGAAAUGUUGGGUUAAGUCCCGUAACGAGCGCAACCCCUAUCCCUUUUUGCCAGCGGUCCGGCCGGGAACUUCAGGGAGACUGCCGGUGACAAACCGGAGGAAGGUGGGGACGACGUCAAGUCAUCAUGGCCCUUACGAGCAGGGCUACACACGUGCUACAAUGGCCGGUACAAAGGGUUGCGAAGCGGCGACGUGAAGCCAAUCCCAUAAAGCCGGCCUCAGUCCGGAUCGGAGUCUGCAACUCGACUCCGUGAAGUCGGAAUCGCUAGUAAUCGUGGAUCAGAAUGCCACGGUGAAUACGUUCCCGGGCCUUGUACACACCGCCCGUCACACCAUGGGAGUGGACUGCACCAGAAGUGGUUAGCUUAACCUUCGGGAGAGCGAUCACCACGGUGUGGUUCAUGACUGGGGUGAAGUCGUAACAAGGUAGCCGUAGGGGAACCUGCGGCUGGAUCACCUCCUUAAACGA